rnacentral:rRNA from 1 species
GAGUGUGGGUUAAGUCCCGUAACGAGCGCAACCCUUGUCCUUAGUUACCAGCACGUUAUGGUGGGCACUCUAAGGAGACUGCCGGUGACAAACCGGAGGAAGGUGGGGAUGACGUCAAGUCAUCAUGGCCCUUACGGCCUGGGCUACACACGUGCUACAAUGGUCGGUACAAAGGGUUGCCAAGCCGCGAGGUGGAGCUAAUCCCAUAAAACCGAUCGUAGUCCGGAUCGCAGUCUGCAACUCGACUGCGUGAAGUCGGAAUCGCUAGUAAUCGUGAAUCAGAAUGUCACGGUGAAUACGUUCCCGGGCCUU